rnacentral:rRNA from 1 species
UGCACGUCGAACGAGAACGGGUAUUAGUUUACUAAUACUGUCAGCUAAGUGGCGCACGGGUGAGUAAUAUAUAGUUAACCUGCCCCAAAGAAGAGAAUAAUUGUUGGAAACGACUCGUAAUGCUCUAUAUGCCUUUAUGACAUAAGUCAGCAAGGGAAAUAUUUAUAGCUUUGGGAUGGGACUGUACGGUAUCAGCUUGUUGGUGAGGUAAUGGCUCACCAAGGCAAUGACGCCUAACUGGUUUGAGAGGAUGAUCAGUCACACUGGAACUGAGACACGGUCCAGACUCCUACGGGAGGCAGCAGUGGGGAAUAUUGCACAAUGGAGGAAACUCUGAUGCAGCAACGCCGCGUGGAGGAUGACACAUUUCGGUGCGUAAACUCCUUUUAUAUGAGAAGAUAAUGACGGUAUCAUAUGAAUAAGCACCGGCUAACUCCGUGCCAGCAGCCGCGGUAAUACAGGGGGUGCAAGCGUUACUCGGAAUCACUGGGCGUAAAGAGCAUGUAGGCUGGUUUGUAAGUUGGAAGUGAAAUCCUAUGGCUUAACCAUAGAACUGCUUCCAAAACUGCAGACCUAGAAUAUAGGAGAGGUAGAUGGAAUUUCUGGUGUAGGGGUAAAAUCCGUAGAGAUCAGAAGGAAUACCGAUUGCGAAGGCGGUCUACUGGAACAUUAUUGACGCUGAGAUGCGAAAGCGUGGGGAGCAAACAGGAUUAGAUACCCUGGUAGUCCACGCCCUAAACGAUGCACACUAGUUGUUGCUAUGCUAGACAUAGCAGUAAUGCAGUUAACACAGUAAGUGUGCCGCCUGGGGAGUACGGUCGCAAGAUUAAAACUCAAAGGAAUAGACGGGGACCCGCACAAGCGGUGGAGCAUGUGGUUUAAUUCGACGAUACGCGAAGAACCUUACCUGGCCUUGACAUAGAGAGAACUUACUAGAGAUAGUUUGGUGCUAGUUUACUAGAGCUCUUAUACAGGUGCUGCACGGCUGUCGUCAGCUC